rnacentral:lncRNA from 1 species
CAGGAACCCGAGGGCCAACCGGAGCUCCCGUGCCCAGCGCUGAGAGCAAGACCGUGUGACCCCGUGGAGGGAAUCCUUCGGAGGCCCGAACACUAAACAACUAUGCUGGCACUGGCACCUGAAGGGCAGAGAGUGUGUCACUGGGCAUCUAAACCCUAGAAAGCAGGCCUCAGUCAACGGUUUCCUUCUCUGAUGUCGCCCUAAAUGCUUGCACUCUGCAGGGCUUGAGUCAACUGAGACUUCUUCGUCCACUCUGUCGCCCCAAAUGUCAGCUACAGGGACACUUCUAAAACUUGGAGGCCCCAGAGUUCCAGACUUUCCCACCUCUCUGGAUGGAGCAAUUAAUCCACAGCAGAGCCCUGGGAGAUAGGCUGGAUUGCACUGCUGGAGGCUGAGGCUGGAAGCUUGAGGACCU